rnacentral:rRNA from 1 species
GAUGAACGCUGGCGGCGUGCCUAAUACAUGCAAGUCGAGCGAACAGACGAGGAGCUUGCUCCUCUGACGUUAUCGGCGGACGGGUGAGUAACACGUGGAUAACCUACCUAUAAGACUGGGAUAACUUCGGGAAACCGGAGCUAAUACCGGAUAAUAUAUUGAACCGCAUGGUUCACUAGUGAAAGACGGUUUUGCUGUCACUUAUAGAUGGAUCCGCGCCGCAUUAGCUAGUUGGUAAGGUAACGGCUUACCAAGGCAACGAUGCGUAGCCGACCUGAGAGGGUGAUCGGCCACACUGGAACUGAGACACGGUCCAGACUCCUACGGGAGGCAGCAGUAGGGAAUCUUCCGCAAUGGGCGAAAGCCUGACGGAGAAACGCCGCGUGAGUGAUGAAGGUCUUCGGAUCUUAAAACUCUGUUAUUAGGGAAGAACAAAUGUGUAAGUAACUAUGCACGUCGUGACGGUACCUAAUCAGAAAGCCACGGCUAACUACGUG